AGCAGAGUGCUGGGUGUAUCUCUGGAGUAUUAGGCCCCUUUCAAACGGGCGAGUAUUCCGCUUGGAUGCGAUGCGUGUGUUGAACGCAUUGCAACUGCACUGAAUACCGACCCAUUCAUUUCUAUGGGGCUGUUCACAUGAGCGGUGAUUUUCACGCAUCACUUGUGCGUUGCGUGAAAAUCGCAGCAUGCUCUAUAUUCUGCGUUU